GACGAACGCUGGCGGCGUGCUUAACACAUGCAAGUCGAACGGAAAGGCCUCUUUCGGGGGGUACUCGAGUGGCGAACGGGUGAGUAACACGUGAGUAACCUGCCCUUGACUUUGGGAUAACUUCAGGAAACUGGGGCUAAUACCGGAUAGGAGCUCCUGCUGCAUGGUGGGGGUUGGAAAGUUUCGGCGGUUGGGGAUGGACUCGCGGCUUAUCAGCUUGUUGGUGGGGUAGUGGCUUACCAAGGCUUUGACGGGUAGCCGGCCUGAGAGGGUGACCGGCCACAUUGGGACUGAGAUACGACCCAGACUCCUACGGGAGGCAGCAGUGGGGAAGAUUGCACAAUGGGUGGAAGCCUGAUGCAGCAACGCCGUGUGCGGGAUGACGGCCUUCGGGUUGUAAACCGCUUUCGCUCAUGACGAAGCUUUGUGUGACGGUAGUGGGUAAAGAAGCACCGGCUAACUACGUG
rnacentral:rRNA from 1 species